rnacentral:tRNA from 1 species
AGGGUUGUAGCUCAGUGGUAGAGCGCUUACAUUGCAUGCAUGAGGCCCUGGGUUUGAUCCUCAGCACCACAU